GCAGGAUGAACAAUCAAUAGGCAGAAAGCAAGAUAGAAGCUUCCUCAGCUUCUGGAUCGACAAUCGACAGCUGAGAGACUAUUUUUUGCUAUGGUUGACUAAAUAUGGUCAGGGAAGACAGAGGCACAAGAGAGCCCGUUUGCCUGGGAGUGCAUGUUUUAAAUGCUUAGCUGCCUAUAAAGCUGUAACAGUUUAGCUCCACCACUCUGAGUGGGAAAUAUGGUUAGUCUCUGUAGUAUCUAUGUGGAAGUCCUGACCUCGCUUGCAGACUUGACCUCUGGAGAAGGAAAGCUCUUCAUCUGAGAAAUGAGUUAGGUUCAUCUUCCUUGGACAUUCUAGCAUCCUUAACUUUCGGUCCAGCAAGCACAAGAGCUGAAUCAGCGAAUAGAGUGAACGAACACUCAGGAUGAGAUGGCUGCUGCUGAUGGGUCUGUCUCUCUAGGUCAUUACCUCUCUUCCAACUGCAAAUGCUGCAUGAUACUAAGCUUACAGACUACGUACUUUUAGAACUCAGAAGCACAAACAAGUCAUGAAAGAAUUCUGCUGAGAAGACCAAGAUGAAACCUUUCCAAUUACAGAAAUACACUCUGCAAAACUUCAUCAGGUCAAUGAAUCAUACAAAGGUGGCUAAACCAGGAAGAAGAGCAACAGAUAUGUCUGGAAUGACUAUGUCCAGCCAAGAACAAUGAAGUGUAGUAAGCCUUAAUGCCAAAUCUGCAGGUAAAUGACUCUAUAAAAUUCAAUUCUUGUGAAAAAGUAAUCUGUGCGAAUAAUUAUACAAUUUGUGUAAAUAAUGAACAAAUUAAUUGUUAUUCUAAUGAUAAAGGAAUAAGGAAAAUGAAACAUUUCAUGUUUAUCUGACAAUCACCUAGACCUACUCAGAGUACAUACUUCUUUAUGUACCCAUAUGAACAUAUAAUGCUAUGGAAUGUAAAGAAGUAUGUAUUUUUGGUAGGUAAUAAACCACCAAGAGGGAAGACGGGAAGAAGCAACAUUUCUUUUGGAAUGACCUUCAUGUGGCAAAUUAAACUGGCAAGAAAGAGGACUUUGUUUUUAAUACUGCCACAAUAAAAUAUGAAACAAAAUAUGUCAUUCCAAAAACAGUUUGUAUUUAUGUGAAGGAAGAAAGAUUUCUUUUAAGAAAAAGGUAAAGAAAACUAUGAAUAUUUUGGUUCACUUUCUUCCAUUUGAAAGCAUUCUUUCUCAAUUUAAAUACUUUUUUAAAACAAGAAAGAUUCAGGUGACUAAAACUUGAGAACAAAAAAAAGAAAAAGUCAUCUUAGCACAAAAAGAAAAAACGUCUUACUUUUAAAUCUGGUAUCCACUAAUAAUGUUUUGAUUCAACUAUUACAUUUUAAUUUAGGUAUGUCAUAUUAAUAAAAAUUUUUGAUUGUUCAAAUUCUGGCAUACAAAAAAGAAAGGUUUACUUAUUCAAAAAUGUUAGCAAAAUACUUGAAAUAAAAAUAGCUAUUGAAAUCUGACCUAUUGGCAUUUGGGAAAUUUUUAAAAUAAAAGGCUUUUUUUUUUUUUUUUUUUAAGCUGUGACUACGGCUAUAGCUUCAAUUCUAAAAGAUCAAAGAUUUAACAAUGACCCUUAUCUUCCCAAUCUCUGCCCCCCUUAAAGCAAACAAAAAACUUUUGGCCUUGUUGCCUUUUAAGUUUAUUAGAUAAUUAACCAAAUCCACACUUUAAAAUUUUUAAUGAAUGUCUAGAUGGAAUAAUCUGAAAUGUCAGAUUUAAAUACAGAAAAUUAUAAUCCAAUGAUUUCUAGGAUAUAAUUGCUAGAUUUUGGGGGAGUAAUUUCACUGUGUUUCUCUGAGCUUUGUUUUACAUCAAUAAAUUAUAUCUAAGCCAAACUGGAUUAAUUAUGAGUCAUCAAACUCUUAGAUACUAAACUAUUUCCCUAUUUGCAAGGUAUACUAUUAUAAUUCAAUUUGUUAUAAGUGCUAAAGACUUACUAUUUGUAGAAAACUACAAAUAUAAAAAAUCUAGAAAGAAUUAAUAUUAAAACCAUUAGUUAUUAUGUAUAUGCACUGUAGGGGGGAACAAUAAGAGAAAGAACAAAAAUAAGCACUAAUAAAGUUAUAAAAUUAAUGCAAGACAAAGGCACAGAAAAUUCAGAGACAAAUACCUUCAUUUAAUUUCAAUUCAGUUUAUGUUUUCUGGACAUCCUUUAAAUAACUAUCAGUUAUCCAAGUGAUACUACUUCAUCUUGGACAGCUAGGAAAAGCUCAGUGAGAUGUGGGAUUUUGUUUGGGUUGUAUUGGCUUUUUAGUAGUCAGAAAUUGUCAUAGUUCAUUUUCUUUCUACCCAUUAAUAUAAUUGGUCAAGUAAUCAAUAGAGAAAUCAUAAAUUACAAUUAUAAUCUGCAGAGAAAAGAAACUGAUCUUGUGGUAUUACAAAUCUUUUCAGAGUGACUGAGGGUAAUCAUAUGUACAGAAGAAAUAUUCAAACUAACAUUUCAAAAAUAUUUCCUAGAUCACUUUUUCCCCUCAAACACAGGCUAACAUUCACUUCUUAAUUCCAAUUUUAAAAGAUUUUUUAUGUAACUUUUUAUGUUACUUGAUAAGUGCUGACCUUUACCACCUCAACAAUGAUUGUUAUAAGUGCUCAAUAUUCCUCCAGCAUUCCUCAAUAUUAUUACUUUGUUAUACUUAUUUCCUUAAAUUUUGCAAUGAUUACCUUACAAAUAAAUUAUUUUAUAUGUUCUAAAAUGUAAUUUUUUAAAAUUACUGGAAACAUACCAGUGGCCAUUAUUUUUUAUUUCAUAUUAAGAUCAUGAUAUUUUGAAACAAAAUAACAGCUUAUCAAUUACAAAAGGAAGAAUUAUACAUAUUGAUACUAUUGCAUACUAGCUCAAUUUAACAUAUCUAAGAAUAUAUUCAGUCAUCCUAAAAUGUCACAUCUAUCACUUAGAUCAGCUGUUCAUUUUUAACUGAGUACACAUUAAACUCUGGGCAUCUGCUGACACUGUUGUAACUCAAACAUUUCAACUGUCUCCCUGACAGGGAUAACAGAUGCUGACAUUAUCAAAUGCUGUACUAUGUGUUUCUUUUUUUUUUUCCAUGGCCUCUUUUUGCCCCGAUAUGGCCAGUAUAUGAAACUGAACUGACUGACAUCCAAAAGCACACUUGAGCAGCUGGAUCUGCUAAGUAGUUCCCAUAUAACUGAUAAAAAUAGAAUCCCAUUUUAAAGUUAUCAUCAGUGCUUAAGUCCAGGCAACCUGACACCUGCUAUGUUUCUAUCAGAAUACGGGGUGUAAAGAAUAUAUUUACAUAAAUAUCUUCAGCAACAUUAUACUUAGCUACCAACAGAUGCAGCGUCUACUUGACAAAAGUAGUCUGAACUAAUGUUGACCUCUCCUCCCUUUGUUUCUUAACUCCCUCUGGUCAGACAAAAGAGAAACAACAAAAACUUUUGCUGAAGUGCUGUAUGAUUUCUUUAAACUAAGGCCCUCUUUUAGGCUGUUUUUUUUUUUUUUUUUUUGAGCCUUAAAAUUCAAAUUGUAAUACUUCAGAAGACAAAUUUUGAUAUUUUACUCCAUGUUAAGUCAAAUCCAAAUGAAAACCAUGUUAGAAAAUUUCUAAAUUAUCAUUACUACGCUAACAUGAAGUAGUAAAAUUCUACUUGUUCAAAUGAAUAUAGUUUUAUAUUUUAAGACAUUAUUUCUUAAUUUCUCCAUCAAACUAAUCACAGUCUCUUAAUUGUCAACCUAGUGUAAAGUCUCACCAAAAUUAGUUAGCUGGUUGUCAAAUUACAGAGUUUAAAACUAGACCUGUAUCCUAUGCCUUAAUUAGAUCUCACCAGCAUGGUAGGAUCUGCCAAUAUCUAUUCCCCACACCUUGCCUUGAAAAAAUCCAGGAUUACCUCUACAACAAAAUAAGGUAGUAGAGAUUUUUGGUGAAAAAUUACUUUUAACCAAAACUUAAUUUUGCUUAUUAGAUGGGAUUAAAUAACUUACAUUCAAAAUUAGUGUAUCUGUACCAAAAUGACAAUAUAAUUAAAGGAAAUUAAAUGAUUAUAUUAAGAUUAGCUAUCUGUCUGUGUAAGGUUAGCAACAUUAUAUAAGUAAAAUCAAGUGAAAAACACACUGGAUUAUAUGGCAGUUCCUUUCACCCACAUAUGCUUAAGCAAUACUUUUAACAUAUGUAUGUUCUAUUUAUAAAGUAAAGGCCAGAGGUACUUCCUCAAGCCACCCUCCUUCUUCUCCACCCAUUUUCAGCAACUUGUUACUGGUCAACAAUUUAAGACUAAAAAAAGCAGUGGUGAUAGUAAAGGUGUGAUCUGUUGAAAUCAAGAACAGUACUUAUCCAAUUUCAAAUAUGCAGACAUCAAUUUUUACUGCUUAAGCAACCUGUUCUACUGCCUAAAGAUUUAAAUUAAGGACAAUAUGUUAUUCUAAAUGAAGUUAUUUUCAAAAUAAUUAAGUUGUUCAAAAGAUGGAUUCAGUAAUAGCAACAGUGUAACAAUCCCCCCAUUUCUAUUCUUCUCCUGAACAAAAAGUAUUCAUUCAAACAGUAGUCAUUUUAAAAACUGAAGUCUUUCAACUAAAGUACACAUCUAUCUUGUUAAUUUCUAAAUCUUACAGGAGUUCAAGAUCAUAAAGAUUACCAUCACCACCAACAAAAAAACCCUAAACUUUCAAAUCAAACAGCUCUAAAGUAUGACAAUGCUUUGCUAAAGCUGGUAAAAUGGAACCAAAUCACCUAUUCAAUGGAUUUGGUCCCCUUCAACCAGCUGUAGCUAUGCAUUGAUUACUACAAGAAAGCAAAAACUUUUAAUAAAGAACAUAAUUAACAAAAACAUAUGUCAUCCAAUUUUCAACUUGUUUUAAGUUUUUCAGAAGAUAGUUAAAUACACUAUAGAUAAUAAUUUGCAGUAAUAUGUGGAUUUUAUAUUUUAUCAAAUUGUAUUUAAAUUAUAUUUCUGUUAAUACUUAUUAAAAACGAUUUUUAUGGUAAAUAUGUUUAUUAAAAAUUUUAUGAAAAAUAAA